AACGCUAGCUACAGGCUUAACACAUGCAAGUCNAGGGGCAGCAUCAUCAAAGCUUGCUUUGAUGGAUGGCGACCGGCGCACGGGUGAGUAACACGUAUCCAACCUGCCGACAACACUGGGAUAGCCUUUCGAAAGAAAGAUUAAUACCGGAUGGCAUAAUUAUUCCGCAUGGGAUAAUUAUUAAAGAAUUUCGGUUGUCGAUGGGGAUGCGUUCCAUUAGGCAGUUGGCGGGGUAACGGCCCACCAAACCAACGAUGGAUAGGGUUCUGAGAGGAAGGUCCCCCACAUUGGAACUGAGACACGGUCCAAACUCCUACGGGAGGCAGCAGUGCAGGAAUAUUGGGUCAAUGGACGAGAGUCUGAACCAGCCAAGUAGCGUGAAGGAUGACUGCCCUAUGGGUUGUAACCUUCUUUUAUACGGGAAUAAAGUGACCCCACGUGUGGCUUUUUGUAUGUACCGUAUGAAUAAGGAUCGGCUAACUCCGUGCCAGCAGCCGCGGUAAUACGGAGGAUCCGAGCGUUAUCCGGAUUUAUUGGGUUUAAAGGGAGCGUAGGCGGGUUGUUAAGUCAGUUGUGAAAGUUUGCGGCUCAACCGUAAAAUUGCAGUUGAUACUGGCGACNUUGAGUGCAACAGAGGUAGGCGGAAUUCGUGGUGUAGCGGUGAAAUGCUUAGAUAUCACGAAGAACUCCGAUUG
rnacentral:rRNA from 1 species